rnacentral:rRNA from 1 species
GUCCUUUUGAGUUAUAUUUAAGGUCUGACCUGCCCACUGAAAUUUUAAUGGCCGCAGUACACUAACUGUGCAAAGGUAGCAUAAUAAUUAGUCUUUUAAUUGAAGGCUGGAAUGAAUGGUUGGACGAAAUAUUAACUGUUUCAUUAAAAAUUUUUUUAGAACUUUAUUUUUUAGUCAAAAAGCUAAAAUUUUAUUAAAAGACGAGAAGACCCUAUAAAGCUUUAUAUAAAUUGGAAUUUAAAAAGUUAAGAUUUUUUUUGUUUAAAUUCCUAUUUAUAUUUUAUUGGGGUGAUAGUAAAAUUUAAAGAACUUUUAAUUGGAAAAACAUUGAUGUAUGGAAUAUUGAUCCACUUUUUGUGAUUAUAAAUUUAAGUUACUUUAGGGAUAACAGCGUAAUUUUUUUGGAGAGUUCAUAUCGAUAAAAAAGAUUGCGACCUCGAUGUUGGAUUAAGAAAUAGGUUUAG